UGUGUUUGUGGGGGGGGGGGGGGGUAAAACCCCUGGGAAUGCAUUCUUCACUUGAACAGAUUCAAUAAUUUAUCCCAACACUCUCUUUGUAUUUUUGUCUUUGAGGGAAUCUAAGAUUUGAUGUAAAUCAGUUUUCCCUUUCAUUUCUUCGUAAGAAUUAUUUUCUGUACUAUAAUUAUUUAAUGUGGUGUAUCUCUUCUAAUAAUCUUAGCCGACCUGGUUUACUUGUUUUGAUACGAUUGUUCCAUGGAAUCCCAGGGUCUGAUGAAGCAAGGUGCAGGACACCUCAGAACCGCCUAUGUUUGUGACAGUGCACUGGGGCUCAAGCGACAAUGAGCAGGUGGGAGGAUCGUUCAGCUGACCAAGUGCAGUAUGACGGUGAUCUCUGAACAGUUGCAAGGAGGGUAAUAACAUGUUAGCUCCUCUUAAUAUCUUGGUUGAUGCCAUCUGUUAGAUUUAGCCCACCGAGUCCCUAUUUUGCAUUUACUUUGCUUCUCUAAAGUUCUCUUCGUGCUGCAAGGAAGACACGAGGGUGUCAUUCUGCUUCUCCUUGCAUGUCUAUUUGUGCGCUUGGGUUGCAGAUCAGGUUACUGACACAUGGGAUCGUACAGUUAUUCUAUUACUCAGGGCCCACCCUGGUGGUCAUUAUAUCUCUGGGGUAAGCAAGCUGAGCAGGUUAUGCA